CUCAGAAGCCCAGUUUGCUAAAAAAAAAGAAAAAAAAGAAAAAAAAAAAGAAUACAAACCAAUUCUCAGUCUAAAUGGUAUAAGGUUCUAGUAAGUUAUAGGUGCAUGCCAAAUGUGGUUUUGUGAACCUUUUUUUUUAAAAUGUAUGAUUAAUACAUUUCAAGGUCAGCAUUUGUAAUUAUUUAAAAAUUCAAUAUAAAAAGUGUGUCUCCUGCAAUGGGCCCUGAUUCUCCUAUUGUCAUGCAACUUGACACAGG